rnacentral:tRNA from 1 species
GGCUUCGUAGCUCAGUUGGUUAGAGCGUCGGAUUCAUAACCCGAAGGUCGGCAGUUCAACUCUGCCCGAAGCCACCA